GCAUAUCAAUAAGCGGAGGAAAAGAAACCAACAGGGAUUGCCUUAGUAACGGCGAGUGAAGCGGCAAAAGCUCAAAUUUGAAAUCUGGCACUUUCAGUGUCCGAGUUGUAAUUUGAAGAAGGUAACUUUGGAGUUGGCCCUUGUCUAUGUUCCUUGGAACAGGACGUCACAGAGGGUGAGAAUCCCGUGCGAUGAGGUGUCCAAUUCUAUGUAAAGUGCUUUCGAAGAGUCGAGUUGUUUGGGAAUGCAGCUCUAAGUGGGUGGUAAAUUCCAUCUAAAGCUAAAUAUUGGCGAGAGACCGAUAGCGAACAAGUACAGUGAUGGAAAGAUGAAAAGAACUUUGAAAAGAGAGUGAAAAAGUACGUGAAAUUGUUGAAAGGGAAGGGCUUGAGAUCAGACUCGGUAUUUUGCAAGCCUAUCCUUCGUGGAGAGGUUUAUUAGCAGCUUACCGGGCCAGCAUCGGUUUGGAUGGUAGGAUAAUGGCAUUGGAAUGUGGCUCUUCGGAGUGUUAUAGCCUUUGUUGAUACUGCCUAUCUAGACCGAGGACUGCGUCUUUGACUAGGAUGCUGGCGUAAUGAUCUUAAGCCGCCCGUCUUGAAACACGGACC
rnacentral:rRNA from 2 species